GCCGCGUGCAGGAAGAAGGCCUUCGGGUUGUAAACUGCUUUUGUCAGGGAAGAAAUCCUCUAGGUUAAUACCCUUGGGGGGAUGACGGUACCUGAAGAAUAAGCACCGGCUAACUACGUGCCAGCAGCCGCGGUAAUACGUAGGGUGCAAGCGUUAAUCGGAAUUACUGGGCGUAAAGCGUGCGCAGGCGGCUUUGCAAGACAGAUGUGAAAUCCCCGGGCUCAACCUGGGAACUGCAUUUGUGACUGCAAGGCUAGAGUACGGUAGAGGGGGAUGGAAUUCCGCGUGUAGCAGUGAAAUGCGUAGAUAUGCGGAGGAACACCAAUGGCGAAGGCAAUCCCCUGGACCUGUACUGACGCUCAUGCACGAAAGCGUGGGGAGCAAAACAGGAUUAGAUACCCUGGUAGUCCACGCCCUAAACGAUGUCAACUGGUUGUUGGACGGCUUGCUGUUCAGUAACGAAGCUAACGCGUGAAGUUGACCGCCUGGGGAGUACGGCCGCAAGGUUGAAACUCAAAGGAAUUGACGGG
rnacentral:rRNA from 1 species